rnacentral:rRNA from 1 species
GAUGAACGCUGGCGGCGUGCCUAAUACAUGCAAGUCGAGCGAACAGACGAGGAGCUUGCUCCUCUGACGUUAGCGGCGGACGGGUGAGUAACACGUGGAUAACCUACCUAUAAGACUGGGAUAACUUCGGGAAACCGGAGCUAAUACCGGAUAAUAUAUUGAACCGCAUGGUUCAAUAGUGAAAGACGGUUUUGCUGUCACUUAUAGAUGGAUCCGCGCCGCAUUAGCUAGUUGGUAAGGUAACGGCUUACCAAGGCAACGAUGCGUAGCCGACCUGAGAGGGUGAUCGGCCACACUGGAACUGAGACACGGUCCAGACUCCUACGGGAGGCAGCAGUAGGGAAUCUUCCGCAAAGGGCGAAAGCCUGACGGAGCAACGCCGCGUGAGUGAUGAAGGUCUUCGGAUCGUAAAACUCUGUUAUUAGGGAAGAACAAAUGUGUAAGUAACUAUGCACGUCUUGACGGUACCUAACCAGAAAGCCACGGCUAACUACGUG